rnacentral:rRNA from 1 species
AUUGAACGCUGGCGGCAGGCCUAACACAUGCAAGUCGAACGAGUGGCGGACGGGUGAGUAAUGUCUGGGACACUGCCUGAUGGAGGGGGAUAACUACUGGAAACGGUAGCUAAUACCGCAUACCAUCGGAUGUUCCCUGAUGGGAUUAGCUAGUAGGUGGGGUAACGGCUUACCUAGGCGACGAUCCCUAGCUGGUCUGAGAGGAUGACCAGCCACACUGGAACUGAGACACGGUCCAGACUCCUACGGGAGGCAGCAGUGGGGAAUAUUGCGCAAUGGGCGCAAGCCUGAUGCAGCAACGCCGCGUGUAUGAAGAAGGCCUUCGGGUUGUAAAGUACUUUCAGCGGGGAGGCGUUACCUGAAGAAGAAGCACCGGCUAACUCCGUGCCAGCAGCCGCGGUAAUAC